rnacentral:ribozyme from 1 species
AUUAUAAUAAGUUCUGUAAAAGGGUUGGAUCCGACGCCCCUUGGAGGCUAAUAUAGGCUCUCCUUAUCAACUCCUACUCAAUACGUCCACGACGUGCAGAACGGUAACUUGUCGCCUAGAUAUCCAAGCUUGGAUACACGGGGAAACCCAACCCCUUGGGCGGAUGGGCGGCAAGGCUGAAUUGAGAGGU